rnacentral:lncRNA from 10 species
GGCAGGAAGGGAGAGGGGCCAGCAUGUCAACUCGCUUGGCCCUGCGUUGCUGGGCCAGGGGUUGGUAUGGCUGCCUCCCCUCCCCAUCCACUGUCAGAUGGCCACUCCUAGAGCCACAGCUGGCUCUCCAAACCAAUUCCUUCCAUUCAGCCCAGGGAGCUUCAUCACACCUUGCUGCCUUCCCUGAAUCAGGCCCACUGUUCUCUCAUUACUGAUCUCAAAAAGUUGAGCGAGCCAGCCAGUCCCAGCCUAUCCCCAGCAUCACCCGCAGUGGACCCGAAGCCUAAGGUGAAAGUACACAUUUUGCUGGUGAGGUAAGUUCAACCAUGUCCCAAACAAACCAGAGAAAAAGCAAAGGCAAACCAAGAGCCCAGCAAGCAUGGACUUCGGAGCAACCAGAGAGAGCCCCGUGCAGAGCCCAGGAGGAUGCAGGUAAUGACAGCCACCUGACCGGGCACAGGCAAGGAUUAAGCGAGGUGAUCUGGGUGAAAGGCCCCACAGGGUUCAUGUCUUGAGCCUGCUGGCCCUUUGGAGUAGAACUACACCAUCGUUUCUCCUGAGUCUCCAGCUUCCUCCUUUCCCACCCUGCAGUUUUGGGGACUUUCCAGCCUCUGUAACUGUGAGCCAAUUUCCUUAUAAUAAAUCUCUUUCUAGAUAUGUGCAUACUAUUAGUUCU